rnacentral:rRNA from 1 species
UCGUAACAAGGUUUUUAGACAUAAGUUCUAGGAUAGAUCGCUCGAUCCUUCCGUGGUGACACUUAUAGAAGCCUCUGCGGCCCCAACCGGGGUUGCUACCGCGACUCUAAAGAAUGGUAGCGCACGCAAGUCAGCGAUGGCGACAUAAUCGAAUUGCGGGGAGCCCUAAAGCCUGCCGGUACCAACCGUGGACGGAAACGUCCGCGGGGCCUACGUUAACCGCGUAGGGUGGUCAUAACCCGGUAGGAUGGAACAAUGGGUGAUCCGCAGCGAAGCCCCUACGGCCUACGGGCUACGGGGACCGCUCACAGACUAAGUGAUUAUGGGCACCACGGUGCUUAAGAUAUAGUCGGGUCCUCCGGGAAACCAGAGGGGUAAGCCACCACAACCGUUCCGUAGGUGAACCUGCGGAAGGAUCAUUACAGUGUUCCCUGCCCUCACGGGUAGAAACGCCCACCCUUGUGUAAUAUAUGAUGUUGCUUUGGCAGGCCGCCCUCGGGCACCGGCUCCGGCCGGGUCGCGCCUGCCAGAGGAUCCCAAACUCUGAAUGUUAGUGUCGUCUGAGUACUAUAUAAUAGUUAAAACUUUCAACAACGGAUCUCUUGNUUCUGGCAUCGAUGGAGAACGCAGCGAAAUGCGAUAAGUAAUGUGAAGUGCAGAAUUCAGUGAAUCAUCGAAUCUUUGAACGCACAUUGCGCCCCGUGUAUUCCGCGGGGCAUGCCUGUUCGAGCGUCAUUUAACAAUCAGCUGCUGGGUCUGGCUCUCGCUCGGNCGGCNUAAAAUCAGUGGCGGCCACCCGGCUCUAAGCGUAGUAUACUCUCGCUACAGGGCUCNGGUGGAGGCUGGCCAACAACCCCCCAUUUUAUCAGGUUGACCUCGGAUCAGGUAGGGAUACCCGCUGAACUUAAGCAUAUCAAUAAGCGGAGGAAAAGAAACCAACAGGGAUUACCUCAGUAACGGCGAGUGAAGCGGUAACAGCUCAAAUUUGAAAUCUGGCUCUUUCAGGGUCCGAGUUGUAAUUUGUAGAAGAUGCUUCGGGUGUAGCUCCGGUCUAAGUUCCUUGGAACAGGACGUCAUAGAGGGUGAGAAUCCCGUAUGUGACUGGUGGCUUUCGCCCAUGUGAAGCUCUUUCGACGAGUCGAGUUGUUUGGGAAUGCAGCUCUAAAUGGGUGGUAAAUUUCAUCUAAAGCUAAAUAUUGGCCAGAGACCGAUAGCGCACAAGUAGAGUGAUCGAAAGAUGAAAAGCACUUUGGAAAGAGAGUUAAACAGUACGUGAAAUUGUUGAAAGGGAAGCGCUUGCAACCAGACUUGCACCCCGUCGAUCAUCCCCCGUUCUCGGAGGUGCACUCGGCGGGGUUCAGGCCAGCAUCGGUUUCGGUGGUGGGAUAAAGGCCUUGGGAACGUAGCUCCUCUCGGGGAGUGUUAUAGCCCUCGGUGCAAUGCCGCCUACCGGGACCGAGGACCGCGCUUCGGCUAGGAUGCUGGCGUAAUGGUUGUAAGCGACC